AGCGAACGUUAGCGGCGCGCCUAACACAUGCAAGUCGCACGAGAAACGGAGCAAUCCGCGGUACAGUGGCGCACGGGUGAGUAACACGUGGAUGACCUUCCCUGGAGUGGUGGAUAACCUGCCGAAAGGCGGGCUAAUACAGCAUAGGACCACGACGCUUUGGCGAUGUGGUGAAAGCGGGCCUCUAUAUAUAAGCUCGCGCUCCGGGACGGGUCCGCGUCCCAUCAGCUAGUUGGUGAGGUAACGGCUCACCAAGGCUUCGACGGGUAGCUGGUCUGAGAGGAUGGCCAGCCACACUGGAACUGAGACACGGUCCAGACUCCUACGGGAGGCAGCAGUGGGGAAUCUUGCGCAAUGGGCGAAAGCCUGACGCAGCGACGCCGCGUGGGCGAAGAAGGCCUC
rnacentral:rRNA from 1 species